rnacentral:tRNA from 1 species
GGCGGCGUAGCUCAGUGGUUAGAGCAGCGGCUUCAUAAGCCGCGUGUCGCUGGUUCGAUCCCAGCCGUCGCUA